rnacentral:rRNA from 1 species
AGCGAACGCUGGCGGCAGGCUUAACACAUGCAAGUCGAGCGGGCCCUUCGGGGUCAGCGGCGGACGGGUGAGUAACGCGUGGGAACGUGCCCUCUGGUUCGGAAUAACUCAGGGAAACUUGAGCUAAUACCGGAUACGCCCUUUUGGGGAAAGGCUUGCUGCCGGAGGAUCGGCCCGCGUCUGAUUAGCUAGUUGGUGGGGUAACGGCCUACCAAGGCGACGAUCAGUAGCUGGUCUGAGAGGAUGAUCGGCCACACUGGGACUGAGACACGGCCCAGACUCCUGCGGGAGGCAGCAGUGGGGAAUAUUGGACAAUGGGGGCAACCCUGAUCCAGCCAUGCCGCGUGAGUGAUGAAGGCCUUAGGGUUGUAAAGCUCUUUUAUCCGGGACGAUAAUGACGGUACCGGAGGAAUAAGCCCCGGCUAACUUCGUGCCAGCCGCCGCAGUAA